AAGUAAUCAUUUAGUGGCCAAUGCCAGAGGUUCUCAAACUGUGGUCUGUGACCACCAGUGGUCCGCGAGCUCCAUUCAGAUGGUCUGUGGAUAGUUGCC